UCUUUCAAUCCAAUUUCCAGAUGCCAUGUGGCAAUCUUAUCUUCUUAGCGAGUGAUACCUAGCUGGCAAUUCUUCCUCUCUCUUCACGUGAAUAAGGAACAAAAAGAGGGAGGCUUUUUCUCUAUCAUCCUCCAACGAUAAAAAGAAAAGAGAAUAAAAAAUAAAAAAAUAAAAGGAAAAGGGAUCCAAUAAAGAGGGUGGAGAACGGAGACCAAGAAAAACGCUCUCCUCAAUCACUCUCUCUCUGAACAUUAAAAAAGAUAAAGAAAAGAAAUCGUUUUUUCUUCUUUCCACAAAAAAAC
rnacentral:lncRNA from 1 species